UGAUCUUCUGACCAGAUUUUGGCAUUUUUGUCUUUUGGCCUAUUGCUACUAAAUUGUGAUCACUACAGCCUACCGGUACUGUUAUUGCUUUUGAACACUUCGCUAGUGCGUUUGUAAAAUUUAAAUCAAUACAAGUGGCUGAUACUGAUCCAACGGCCCUGUAACUUUAUCCUAGUUGGGCUCCUGAUCAUCUGCUUCAAAUUAAAUGUUUGUGUACUAGCUAACAAUAUACUUCUGAUGGCACAUGAUGUUUUAUUCCAGUCAAUAUUAAAAUCUCCAAGUAAAUAAAUUUCAUUAUCCACAUCACACACUCUGUCAAUCAUUUCACAUAUUAAAUUAACAUAUUUCACUUCUGCAUUAGGUGGGCGGUAACAGCACCCAACUAACAGCAGCUUUAAAUGAGGUAAAUGCACCUGUAACCAGAUUACUUCUAAUUCCCCAUUUCUUAAAUCCCCUCUAACCUUUACUGGUAUGUGAUCUCAAACAUAAAAUGCCACUCCUCCUCCUUUUGUAUUCCUGUCAGAUCUAUAUAUAUUAUACUCCUCUAUACUAAGCAAAUUAUUACUAAUUGACUCAUCAAAAUGUGUUUCAGUAAUCGCCAUUUUAUGUAAAUCCCAUCUGGAUGUCAAUUUCCCUCUGGGAUUAAUAAAGUAUUUUUGAAUUGAAUUGAAUUUGAUUUCUGCUACACCCUGUAUCUUAUUUCUUAAACUACAUAUGUUCAAAUGAGCCAUCCUCAAUCCUUUUUAGGUAAUUCAAGAACAUUUGUCAUUAUGCAGUUUCAAUACUUUCCAUCUCAAUACACAAACCUUUGCCAUUGUCAUAUAAUAAUAUAUAUUUGUGCAACACAUAACAUUAGACAUUCAACCACAAGAAAACCCCCAUCACAUCACACACAUUUCCCCCUUUAACCAUAUCUAAAUUAGAAGUGUCUCACCACGCCAGCUGUAGUUUAACCUAAAUUAGAUCCUGUGGUCUUAAUAUAACUUUCUCUAGUACUCAAGCUUGGCUCUAUCACUUUUUUCCAGUAAUCUUCAGCUUGGAGGUGAUCUACGAACUAGAGCUGAAACAACUAAUCGAUUUAAUCGAUUAUAAUCGAUUAUUAAAAUAGUUAACAACUUUUUUAGUCAUCGAUUAGUUGUUUAAUAAUCAUAUUUUACCGCAUAAAGUCUAUUUUUACCACAAUCUGACAUCGGUUACAAGCUGUUAAAUUUGCCGCCAGUGUGUGGCAGUAAUGAGCCACUGAUCUACCAGUGGAGCCGUAGAAGAAGAAAUGAGCCAAUGAGUGCCCUCGGUUUUCAUGACGUAUCACUUUACUGACGCUCAUCUUGCUGUGAGAGAUGGCGGAACAAGAGGAAAUACGGAAGAAAAAUAGAAGCGACAAAAUUUUAGAGAAACCCCGGACAAAAACCUCACGAGUAUGGGAGCACUUCACUAGAUGCAUUGAAAAGGCAAAAUAUGCAAAAACCAUCUAGCAUGGCACGGAAGCACGACGUCCCUAAGUGAACAUUUGAGACGAAAACGUGGGGGCUGAGGAAGAGCACCGCGGUCAAGUGAGCCGUCAUUUGGAAGAGCCAGCCCGAAAAAAAACAAGCAACGAUGGACAACUACAUGGGGAAAGAGACACUCACCCCCCAGCAAUUCAUACCACUUACAAACUCUAUUCUAAACAUGCUGGUAAAAGACAUGAGGCCACUAUCCAUGGUGGAAGGAGCAGGCUUCCAGCUAAUGCUAAAAAAUUAUUCUGGACUGAUAUUUUGCACUGUUUAGCUCAUUUUAUACUGCUGACUGUGUUCAUGUGCAAUAAAAUAGAUUGCAGUCAACUGCACAA